UGUCUCCUUGUUUCCUGUUCUUAUCAUCCCCCUCUAAAGAAUGAGAAGCCUCAGGAAACAAAAUGGAAGAAAAGAACAAGCAGAUUAAGAAUUUGAACUAAGAUGUUGUCCUUUGGCAAGCAGAUUUCAUCUGUCUUUCCGCAACUGAGCUCAAGGACUUUUCUUACAUCUGAAGUGGAUGUAAGGGGCAUACCUAGAACCCUUGCACUUGUUUUAUGUACACUGAAAUAAUAACAAAAGUUGAAGAAAUAAGAACAAACAUUCACCUAAACAAAAAAUAAAUAUAUCUCACAGCAACGAAGACCAGAAAAGAAAAUCCUUUCCUUCACCCUUAGAAAGCCUCUGCAUAUUAUACUAGAUGGUAUUUAUUUGCACUGGCAGUGCAGACACUGAGCUCCAGAGAAACAGUAGUAAAUAAAAACAAUAAUCAGUGAACUGCAAAAGAGUCUUUUUUCUUUAUUUGAAGCGAUAUUCACAUGAACAAAUAUUUGAAAAAAAAAAUGUAUGCUGUGCCUCAGACAAUAGUUAUAACUGAAGAAAUCUUUGGACUAAUGGAUGAAUAUUAUCUUGACUGUACAGAAGAAUGAGACAGCUACUUCAGUAAAAUAUUCAAGAUGUGUUUUGUGAAUGCACAAAAUGGAUCCCUGUGGAGAUGGAGAAUGGGAUGAAGGCAAAUCAGAAAGACUGAUUAUGCUGAAACCAGCACUACAAAAAGGGAUGCUUGAAAGGACAAGUGAGCUGGCUGGUAGAAGUGAACCCAAGAUGUUUCAUGAGGAGCAGAACUAUCAUCUCCAGGUUUCCUAUGGAUUUCUCCCAUCCCCAGUGUUUUCUUCCUUGUCUCCACUGCGACCCUGUGUGUUUUGCUGAAUUAAAACAGCAGCACAUGUAUAGUUAGAAACUAGCCAUAGUAUGCUGACUUACUGGCUGAGCGUUAUCUCUUGAUUACAUAUGAGUCUGAGUUACAAGUUUUUAUUUAAUAGUCUACUCAGCUGAGUUUUAAUGCAACUUGUAAGAAUUUAAUUUAAGGCAAUCCCUUAUGUCAGACUCAAUUGGAUGAGGUUAAUAUAUUAAAAAUUGGAGAGGAGAGCAGUGCCACACCAGGAAGUCAAUCUGACUGAGAGAACAGAGCACCUUACAAGCAUCACAGGGAAGUGUACUCUUCCACAUUAAAACUGCAGCAUAAGGUCUCUGAGAAAUGACAGGUAGUUAGUGGCACCAAUAUUCUGUUAUGUUUCAUUGCUGUGCAACAGAUGGCAGCAGAGAGGUGGUCUGACAAAAUGGUGUCUGAUGUGGAAGUGUGUAUGAAGCAAAGGUGUGUUACUGAAUUCCGCUGUGUGUUUAAAAAAAAAAAAAAAAAAGGCACCCAUGGACAUUAAUCGACACUUGUUGAAGGUUAUGGAGAACUAACAGUGGAUGUGAGCACAGUGAGGCAGUGGGCAGUGUGUUUCAGCAGUGCUGACAGUGAUGCGAAAGAACAGCCAUGUUCUGGAUGGCCAUGAACAGCUGUCACCUCUGCUGGUGUGGGUGUUUACAAGUGUGGCACACAGGCUCUUUAUUGUAUUAGGCGAAUAAUGAAGCACUCGGGUUGUAACGCGGAAGGCCCUUCCCCAUUUCACUUGCUAUUGGUUGGCCUACAGGAGAGGCUGUACUUCUUUGUUUUAAUAACAACGUGAAUGACCACUCUAUAUAUGGCUUUUCAGAAGUGAGUGGACAGAGCGGGAUAUUCAGUAUGAUUGGCCAGGAGCCUGCGUGAGCUUCUGGAACAGUCUAGUAAAAGAUAAGAAAUACUAUAUAGUUCUGUAGCUUUUACCAAUAAACGCCAUUUUGCUGAUCA
ensembl:lncRNA